rnacentral:lncRNA from 1 species
UCGCCCUCCUUUGGUUUGGUUCCCCGCAAACCUUUCGCCUCUUGUUCCGCCCGAUUUCUCCGAGAUUUUUAGGAUCCUCAUUUGAAAUGUCUUCCGGCACCUCCACCUCUAGCGGUUCCAGGAGUUCAUCCGCCUCAGCCCCCCAGAACCCCCACACUGUAGACGAACCCACAUUUGGGGCUGGGCUUCGUCCGAUUUUUGCGUCGGGUGCUAUUCCCUGCU